CGACGGCCAUAUCUCGUUGUAAAACCGGUUCUCAUAUGAUCACCAAAGUUAAGCAAUGUCGAGUCUGGUCAGUACCUAGAUGGGUGACCUCUUGGGAAUUCCAUGUGCUGUAA